rnacentral:rRNA from 1 species
UACAGAGACCUCAAGCAUUAUCCGGAUUUAUUGGGCGUAAAGGGUCCGCAGGUGGUCGUGCACGUCGGGGGUUAAAUGUAUGGGCUCAACCCGUACACCGCUUUCGAUACGACAUGACUAGAGGCCGGGAGAGGUGAGCGGAAUUGCCGGUGUAGCGGUGAAAUGCGUAGAGAUCGGGAGGAACACCAGCGGCGAAGGCGGCGACCUGGACAGGUACUGACACUCAACUACGAAAGCGUGGGGAGCAAACAGG